rnacentral:lncRNA from 1 species
UAGGGAAGGCAGCAAAUACAUUAAACACUAAUACAAUCCACCAAACUCACUCAAGGAGUAUUUGUAAUGAGACUAGCAUAAGAUGUAAAUGUGAUAAUGCUUGUAAAUUUGUAAGAAAAAUUGUAGAGCCCUGUAUUUAUGUCAUUAUUGUUAUUAUUAGUAGUAGACUGAUAGUAAUAUAUAAGGAACUAUAUGAGUUAAAUAUUUGUUGAGUGAGAAUGCAUAAGACAGUAGCUUUAAGGAGACUUGUCUAGAAGGGGAGAUAAUAUAUGUGCAAAAAUACAAAAAAGUGCUAAAAGACAAUUAUAAAACUUUAUGAUAAUUCAACAGAGGAAAUAAUUUCUUUUAAUUGGAGAAUUUUGGAAUCAUUCAGGUUAGCUGGGUACAUUGAACCUUUCCCCAGCAAUGCUCAACAGGUAAAGACCAGCUGUAGGCUUGUCCAGGUGACCAGUGAUUUCAUACAUUUCUGCACUUUUGAACCUAGGACAUUUCACCGGAUUGGACAAGGCUAGUAAGGUGAAAGAGAAGAGGCCUGAAGAUUGCAGAGAGCUAGUGACAACAUCACUGGAAUGGUUGAGAUCCACAGUGUGUCAGGAGUGAAUCUCGGUUAUGAGCAUGACUGCAUACCGAGCCCUGAGAUCCCACCUAGCAAAUGGCUGAACUCUCGGGAGAUGUUGAGGACCUCCAACACAUUAACCAUCUGGGGAUUUUUAUAAGAAAUGGGACCUAAUUCAACCCACAGUCUGGUUGCAGGAACAAGGUUAUAAAAGAGACAGGUUAUGGUCAGUUUAGGGAUUGUCAUAUCUGCAAAAACUAAAGAACAGAGAAUUGCUGCUUAUCUCCCACAAAACUGUGAAUUAACAAUAAAAAAAUGCUGAAUUUGAAGUAUGAACUGAUGAGGAUUCUUAGUAUAUUCUUUGAAGAGUAAAUCAGAUGGGAAAUCAAUUGGAAAGUGCAAAUGAGGAAAAUAACAAAGAAACUAAAUGUGGAAAUUUUUUGAAUUGAUAAUUGAAUUGAUCUUAUUUUUAUAAGAGUAAGUGUUUUCUGGCACAAGUUCUGUACCUUCAUUAGACAUAUGCUUGUACAAAU